AGAGUUUGAUCCUGGCUCAGGACGAACGCUGGCGGCGUGCCUAAUACAUGCAAGUCGAGCGAGCUUGCCUAGAUGAUUUUAGCGCUUGCACUAAAUGAAACUAGAUACAAGCGAGCGGCGGACGGGUGAGUAACACGUGGGUAACCUGCCCAAGAGACUGGGAUAACACCUGGAAACAGAUGCUAAUACCGGAUAACAACACUAGACGCAUGUCUAGAGUUUGAAAGAUGGUUCUGCUAUCACUCUUGGAUGGACCUGCGGUGCAUUAGCUAGUUGGUAAGGUAACGGCUUACCAAGGCAAUGAUGCAUAGCCGAGUUGAGAGACUGAUCGGCCACAUUGGGACUGAGACACGGCCCAAACUCCUACGGGAGGCAGCAGUAGGGAAUCUUCCACAAUGGACGAAAGUCUGAUGGAGCAACGCCGCGUGAGUGAAGAAGGGUUUCGGCUCGUAAAGCUCUGUUGGUAGUGAAGAAAGAUAGAGGUAGUAACUGGCCUUUAUUUGACGGUAAUUACUUAGAAAGUCAUGGCUAACUACGUGCCAGCAGCCGCGGUAAUACGUAGGUGGCAAGCGUUGUCCGGAUUUAUUGGGCGUAAAGCGAGUGCAGGCGGUUCAAUAAGUCUGAUGUGAAAGCCUUCGGCUCAACCGGAGAAUUGCAUCAGAAACUGUUGAACUUGAGUGCAGAAGAGGAGAGUGGAACUCCAUGUGUAGCGGCGGAAUGCGUAGAUAUAUGGAAGAACACCAGUGGCGAAGGCGGCUCUCUGGUCUGCAACUGACGCUGAGGCUCGAAAGCACGGGUAGCGAACAGGAUUAGAUACCCUGGUAGUCCAUGCCGUAAACGAUGAGUGCUAAGUGUUGGGAGGUUUCCGCCUCUCAGUGCUGCAGCU
rnacentral:rRNA from 1 species